GAUUAUGGCUCAGGAUGAACGCUGGCGGCGUGCCUAAUACAUGCAAGUCGAACGAGGUAGCAAUACCGAGUGGCGAACGGGUGAGUAACACGUAGGUAACCUGCCCUUAAGCUUGGGAUACCCAGAGGAAACUUUGGCUAAUACCGGAUAACAACAGAGAAGGCAUCUUCUUUGCUUGAAAGGCCCCUUCAAGGGUCACUUAAGGAUGGACCUGCGGCGCAUUAGCUAGUUGGUGAGAUAACAGCCCACCAAGGCGAGGAUGCGUAGCCGAACUGAGAGGUUGAUCGGCCACAUUGGAACUGAGACACGGUCCAAACUCCUACGGGAGGCAGCAGUAAGGAGUUUUCGGCAAUGGGGGAAACCCUGACCGAGCAACGCCGCGUGAGCGAUGACGGUCCUUUGGAUUGUAAAAAGCUCUGUUGUAAGCCAUGAAUGACAGCUUGAGGAAAUGCAAGUUGUUUGACGACAGCUUACCAGAAAGCCACGGCUAACUACGUGCCAGCAGCUGC
rnacentral:rRNA from 1 species